GAUGAACGCUGGCGGCGUGCCUAAUACAUGCAAGUCGAGCGAACAGAUGAGGAGCUUGCUCCUCUGACGUUAGCGGCGGACGGGUGAGUAACACGUGGAUAACCUACCUAUAAGACUGGGAUAACUUCGGGAAACCGGAGCUAAUACCGGAUAAUAUAUUGAACCGCAUGGUUCAAUAGUGAAAGACGGUCUUGCUGUCACUUAUAGAUGGAUCCGCGCCGCAUUAGCUAGUUGGUAAGGUAACGGCUUACCAAGGCAACGAUGCGUAGCCGACCUGAGAGGGUGAUCGGCCACACUGGAACUGAGACACGGUCCAGACUCCUACGGGAGGCAGCAAUAGGGAAUCUUCCGCAAUGGGCGAAAGCCUGACGGAGCAACGCCGCGUGAGUGAUGAAGGUCUUCGGAUCGUAAAACUCUGUUAUUAGGGAAGAACAAAUGUGUAAGUAACUAUGCACGUCUUGACGGUACCUAAUCAGAAAGCCACGGCUAACUACGUG
rnacentral:rRNA from 1 species